rnacentral:rRNA from 1 species
GACGAACGCUGGCGGCGUGCUUAACACAUGCAAGUCGAGCGGUAAGGCCCUUUCGGGGGUACACGAGCGGCGAACGGGUGAGUAACACGUGGGUGACCUGCCCUCAGCUCUGGGAUAAGCCUGGGAAACUGGGUCUAAUACCGGAUAUGACCUGCUGCUUCAUGGUGGUGGGUGGAAAGUUUUUCGGCUGGGGAUGGGCCCGCGGCCUAUCAGCUUGUUGGUGGGGUGAUGGCCUACCAAGGCGACGACGGGUAGCCGGCCUGAGAGGGCGACCGGCCACACUGGGACUGAGACACGGCCCAGACUCCUACGGGAGGCAGCAGUGGGGAAUAUUGCGCAAUGGGCGGAAGCCUGACGCAGCGACGCCGCGUGGGGA